rnacentral:rRNA from 1 species
GCAUAUCAAUAAGCGGAGGAAAAGAAACCAACAGGGAUUGCCCCCAGUAACGGCGAGUGAAGCGGCAACAGCUCAAAUUUGAAAUCUGGCUUCGGCCCGAGUUGUAAUUUGUAGAGGAUGCUUUUGGUGAGGUGCCUUCUGAGUUCCCUGGAACGGGACGCCACAGAGGGUGAGAGCCCCGUAUAGUUGGACACCGAGCCUCUGUAAAGCUCCUUCGACGAGUCGAGUAGUUUGGGAAUGCUGCUCAAAAUGGGAGGUAUAUCUCUUCUAAAGCUAAAUACUGGCCAGAGACCGAUAGCGCACAAGUAGAGUGAUCGAAAGAUGAAAAGCACUUUGAAAAGAGGGUUAAAUAGUACGUGAAAUUGUUGAAAGGGAAGCGCUUGUGACCAGACUUGUGCCGGGCUGAUCAUCCAGUGUUCUCACUGGUGCACUCUGCCCGGCUCAGGCCAGCGUCGGUUCUCGCAGGGGGAUAAAAGCGGCGGGAACGUGGCUCCUCCGGGAGUGUUAUAGCCCGCCGCUCAAUACCCUUGCGGGGACCGAGGUUCGCGCUCCGGCAUGGACGCUGGCAUAAUGGUCAUCAGCGGCCCGUCUUGAAACACGGACCAAGGAGUCGAGGUUUUGCGCGAGUGUUUGGGUGUCAAACCCGCACGCGUAAUGAAAGUGAACGUAGGUGAGAGCUUCGGCGCAUCAUCGACCGAUCCUGAUGUAUUCGGAUGGAUUUGAGUAAGAGCGUUAAGCCUCGGACCCGAAAGAUGGUGAACUAUGCCUGAAUAGGGUGAAGCCAGAGGAAACUCUGGUGGAGGCUCGCAGCGGUUCUGACGUGCAAAUCGAUCGUCAAAUUUGGGCAUGGGGGCGAAAGACUAAUCGAACCAUCUAGUAGCUGGUUACCGCCGA